UAAAAAGAGAGUGAUUAUGUACUGAAUCCCAGAGGAAGUCUCACUGAGUGUGAUGUGGUUAGAAGUACUUGAAUAGCAUCUGAAGAGUGAUUGUUUGCAUUUCCUGGAAAGCGAAGAUUUUAUUGCCAAACUGGAAAUUGAUGUAAGGGCUUCAUGGAAUCAGUGGAACAGAUCUACAGGCACUCUGAAGCUGGAGGGAGGGGUCUUCAUUCCCCAGAUCUCUGUAGAUCUACCCAGAGCUGGGCCCAGCUAUUCUCUUUUGAGUAAGAACAUCUGGCUCCUUUGAAGAAUACAAUCAGUACACAGACAGUGAUGGAGAUAAUUUCCACAAAGCAGAGGUGGAAACCCAUGCUCUGACAGAGAGAAGAAAAGACAAGCAGAUUCCUCAUCAAUGCUAAGAAGCUCAAAGAACAUUGACAAUCAGCCAGCGACAGAAGAAACAGUAUUGGAGGGAAAAAUAAUAAAUAAACUCAACUGCUCGGCUUGUCUGUAUGGAUGUGGUGAUGGUGUAAUAAUGGGGUAUUUCUGGUAACAGAUUUAGAAAAUAUUAUACUGGCCUGAAGCAAUAAGUAAGGUUUGAAAAGCUUCAAUUUGUGGCAAGAGAUGAGUUUGUAAUUGCUGGGAGAAAGAUGAUUGAAGAUUAUUUAAAAUUUGAAUCAAAGAAAUUUGGGAGGAAAGUUUGUCAAAUUAAUCCUAUAUUUUCAUUGACUAUAUUUCCCAAAGACUUUGGCAACCACCCAAGCACUUAGAUGAAGUGAAAAGAUUUUUUUUUUCCAAAAGUGCUCAGAACUCAGUACACCCACUGAAACAUUGGGCACUGAGCAGUUUUGAAAAUCUGGUCCAAUCAGUUGCUCCUCCCUCUCCUGCCAUCCAAACAAAUGGAGAAGAAAACAAAACUUUCUAAGAAUAAAUUUGGAGUUUUGAAACCCCCUCCCUAAUAGAAAACUUGGAUUAAACUCUCUCCUUUAAUAUUAUUUUAAGCAUAGAUUUUGUUCAGAAAUUGAAAAAAAAAUGCUAAAAAAUAAAAAUGUGGUUAUGAUUUCCCCUUGACUGGUUUGAAAAUCCCAGCUUUGUUUUUGUAGUUAAAUGAUAUAAAUUCUGUCUGCAUUUUUAGUAAUACACAGAGUAAAUAGUUGGUGAGGAUGAUAAAAUAAUUUCUUAUUCUCAAAUAUCAGAUUAUGGGAGGAAGUCCUACAGAUAGUAAAUCAAAUUCACUGGUGUGCUCCUCUGCUUUGACCUCCACCGGCAAAGCAGAGCAUGCAUUAUCCCAUCUUAAUUAGACACUUAAGCAUUGCUUAUAAUUGCUUUGUAUCACCAGAGCAGUGCAAAACAGCCAGAGAGUGAAUCUUGAAUCUUUGAAUUUCACAAUUCAUUUUCUCCUGCGGCUGUCUACUACUCAGUUUUAUUUAUGUCCCCGAUAUAUUUUAAUCAGAGUACUAUUUAAAUAAAUGUGUGCUUUAUGCAACAGACAAAAGCAAGACAUCUUUUUCAGUGGAUUCCAUUCCCUCCCUCCCACACACCACAAAUCUUUUGGAUGAUCAUACCACUUGGCAUCACAGACAAAACAUUCUUUGAAAGGCCCUUAAUACAUGAUUGUGUGUAGCAACCUAGUUCUAAUGAAAAUGUAAACAUACAGGCUAAAAAAACCCACAUGUAUUUUAACAUAAAUUUGGCACAUGCUAUCAUAGAUUAGAAUCACAAUUUUUAAUAAUAGUAAUAAUGCCAGAUGAAGCUGAGUGAUAUUUUUACCUCUGAUCUGUAUGGGGGGCAGGAAAAAAGAUUUCUUGUUCUUUUUUAACUGCAAUUUUGUGGAAAUUCAGAAACCCUUCACCUUCUCCCUGUAAAAGAAUAGCCAGAUAGGUCCUUUCCCUGCUAACACAAUAUUUUUUAGUACAAUUUAUACGAGUGCUAGCCAGAGAGAGUGAGGUAGAGUUUCAUAAAGGUCUAUGUACAAGAGAUUGUGUAUAAAAGCUGUGUAAAUCAGAGAUAAUUUUUGUAUCAGCACUUCUAUUCUUUGCCUCUUUUUAAAGUCAAUGCCGCCUUGUUGUUCCAUACAGCUUAAAAGCAUUAACACACACAAAUGCUGGAAGAUUUAACAGAAAUUGUUAUAGGACAACAUUUUUCACAGUACAGUACAACUUACAUCUUCUGGCAUUUUAUCACCUCUAAUAGAAGCUAUGCUGAACAUUAGUUUAAUCAUUAAAAUUUGCAUUGUGUAAGAACGCUAUUCAUUUUAAACUGUGGCAUACAAAAUGUUGGUCAUGGAUUGAAGUGAUUGUCAUUUUAUUAAUUGUAGAAGAAACAUUAAUUUCUUAUCACAUUUGGGUGAAAUUCAUCACUGUGUAGAGAAGCAGCAUGAGGCCUAUGCCUUACUUAAGUCCUACUUAAGACCUGAUGAUUGAAGUAACAAAGUUGUUUUGAACCUAGUAGUUGUUUACUGUGAUGUGAACUUACUAUCUAAUCACAUGUAGAUUCUGUGCAAUAAAGGACAUUGUAACUCAGAGAA